GGCUCAGGACGAACGCUGGCGGUGUGCCUCAUACAUGCAAGUCGAACGAUAAGGUUCUCGGAAAUACAUAAGUGGCGGACGGGUGAGUACAACAUAGGAAAUCUGCCCUAAACCGGGGGACAACAGAGGGAAACUUCUGCUAAUACCCCAUACGAGCUUAGUUGAAAUACUAAUCUUGAAAGCUCCGGCGGUUUAGGAUGAGCCUGUGCCUGAUUAGCUGGUUGGUGGUGUAAUGGACUACCAAGGCGACGAUCAGUAGCUGGUUUGAGAGGAUGAUCAGCCACAAUGGGACUGAGACACGGCCCAUACUCCUACGGGAGGCAGCAGUAGGGAAUUUUGCGCAAUGGGCGAAAGCCUGACGCAGCAACACCGCGUGAAUGUUAAGCCCUUCGGGGUGUAAAGUUCUGUCAGUAGGGAAGAACAAAUGACUGUACCUACAAAGGAAGCACCGGCUAACUCCGUGCCAGCCGCCGC
rnacentral:rRNA from 1 species